AUAUAUGUACUUGGCCACAGGGAGAGCUGGCCUCCUUCUGAUGUGUCGUGCCCUUCUAUAAUCCUGCUGCACACAAAGCACAGUGACCAUCUAUUUUUGGCUAGAAUGAGCUAAUUCCAUGAGUUUGGUUCUUGAAAUUGCCUGACCUCUGUGGACAGUGGAGUGUAGGGAGAGGUGACUGGGGCACCCGUGCCUUGACACCCCAUUUUCUUCUCCUGCUCCCCUAUAAUGCCCUCGCGAUGGAAGCAACUUCCUAGGACUUCAGAAUGGAAACUGCUGCAGGGCGCUUCUCGUGCAUCCCAGUGGGCAGCACGAGGAUGGACCGCCAGUGAUGCACUCCAAGCCGCCUUCACCUCCUCAAGCACACUAUGCAUCUUCCAGACACGAGUGGGGCCUCAACACUGCUUGACAGUUUGUGAAGUGCUCUAACAUUCUGGACAUAAUCAUGAAGCUUUCAUGGACUGCACCACUGCACCCUGUUGUAGGCUACGGAGCUGCACAGUGCAAGAGACAUCACUUCCCCAGGAGCCAGCAUGGUGCCCGCAGGCUCUCAGCAAACUUCUUUGUUCAUUACUGAUGAGUCUGACACAUUUGAUUCAAGUCUUAGCCCAUCCUUCCAUCUUUAUUGUCUAGCAUAUGGCAGAGAGCACAUAGAAAAGAGAAAAUGGCCAGGCUGGGUGGCUCACACCUAUAAUCCCAGCAACCCAGGAGGCUGAGGUGGGAGGAUCACCUGAGCCCAGGAGUUAAAGCCUGCAGUGAGCUAUGACUGAACCACUGCCCUCCAGCCUGGGCGACAGAGCAAGACCCUAUCUCAAAAACAAAAACAAAACAAAACAAAACGAUAACGUGCAUGUAAAUUAACCCCCAACUAAAAGUCUAACACUCUCACAAGAAUUAUGUCUUCCAGGUGCUUCAUUCUAAUUCCUAUUGAGAAAAAUUUCUGUAGCAGACAGGAGUUUACAAAUAUUCUGCUGCUAAAAUUACAAAGUUUAAAGGGAGUAUGAAGGUAGUACAAAGAAAAAAAAUCCUGGAUUAGUAGAGUUAUAGAGUCUGGUGUGACAACUCGGCAUUUGGGAUUUCUGGCAGAGUCCGGUUUUACAGCCCUGUUAAUGGCUAUAACAAGAGGGUGUAGCAGAAAUGCCAGCACUUCUCAUCCAAAAGAAAUCUCGAAAUGUGACAAGGCACAAAAGUCUUGCUGAACAUGUCAGAAAUCCUGCUGCGUUUUUUGCCACACCUCCUCCACUGAUUAGCUACAUGCUCUCUGCCAUUAUGAAAUCUCUCACACCUACACCGCAAUGGAAGGAAGAAACGAUGCUGCUGUCUGCUUCUCUUGCUUUAGGAUAGUCUCAGCUAUUGCAUGGGACUGUUAAUGAUUCCCAUUUCUCUGUGGAAGCACUUCUGCUAACGGGAACUUGCGUUGCUAUUAUCAUUCUAUUUUACACAGAAAAAAAACAAGAGAUACAGAUGAGUUGACUGGCUUGCCCAAGAUUGGGGUCCAGCUUCGAUCAGGGUCCAGCCUCGAGCCCAGUCUGCCUGGUCCCAAGUCCGUGUUCCCAACUGCUCUGCUCUUCCCCAUGGGAGACCCAUCCCCUCACUACGUGAUGGACUUUUAGUACAACUCACCUAUGCAUGGGGAAUGCAGUAAAAGAGGCAGUGAAGAGCCAGCCUGUGCAAAGCUCUGAACGACUACAGGGUCACACCAAGACAACCGAACAGAGUCCAACGUUUAUAACAAACUUUCUUAACUCUUACUCACGCUGAAUGUUACAUUAUUAAUUAUAAUUUCAGACUCAAAACUAGGCAAUCAUCACUCUUUUUGUAAGUCCCGUAUUUAGAUGGCAAAUAAACAGCCAAAAGUUAAGGCAUUUGAAGGGCACUUGAAAACCAUUCCUUUAUGUGGAACCUGGGGUGCUAUGAUAAAAGGUUAACUAUGACCCUCCCAGUACAAUCUGCAGAAUCAUUUAUACCACUAAGGCUAUAUAAGUCACACCACUAAGAUAUAUCUUCAGUUUAUUCUUUUUCUUAUUAGUACUAGAGUUAAAUAAAACACUAUGUAAAUACCUGGGGCAAUGGUGUGAACAUUUUUCUUGCUGAAACUAGUUACCAGAAUUAAGAAAAAAUAUCAAACACAACUGACGUGAUUUGCACCUUCUUUUGGCCUUGUUCAUUGUUGCCAAGAACUAUAAACACAUCCCCAAAAAAGACAGUAAGGAAGAAGACAAAAAAUUACUAACUCGGGAGAAGCAACAACUAAAUAAAUAGAGAAUUACUGGCAAUACAAUUUAGUCUUAAUUUACUGAAUGUUAUUCUAAUAACUGAAAUAUUCAAUUUCCCAUGAAGGUAAAUUUGUUUAUAUCUAAUCACCCACAGGAUCAGCCUGGUUUAAUGACUGCUAUUCCCACUGCCUUUCCAAUAGCAAUUAUAAGCCAUUAGGGGUCUUUGGUCCCUUUCUAUUUUAAAACAAUUUAAUGAAUACUUAUGAAAGCAUUAGAAAAUCUUUCAGAAAGCUAUAGCAGUCUUUCAUGUAUGCUUAGAAAAGAUAACAACUUUUGUAAUACAAAAACAGAGUGUAACAACUCUUAUGCCGAGAUAUUCAUACCUUAUUCAUCUGAAGAUCCUGUAGCUGCUGCUGCCAGGCGAGAAUAGUUUCUAAUCGGCAAAUCCAAAUAUUGAUGUUUCCCACUAAUACAGACUUCCCUACUCCUCUAAUCAGAAUGCAGAGGGUAGAGCUUAGGUCUUGCAGAAGAUCUUUGAUUAAGCGAGGAUUGUGGUGGUCAUCAAGAACUGGAAUACAUAAAAAUAAAACUAUGGAUUGACACAGUUAAGCAACACUUUAAAAAACAAUCUGGUUUCACAACCCAAAUGUCCACUGAUAGAUGAACAAACAGCGUGUGAUCUAUACAUGAAUAGAAUACUAUUCAGUCUAAAACGGGAGGGAAAUUCUAACACAUAGUCAGCAUGGAUGAACCCUGAAGACAUUACACAAAGUGAAAUAAGCUAGUUACAAAAGGACAAAUAUAUAACUCCACUUAUAUGAGGCACCUAGAGUAGUCAAAUUCAUAGAGACAGAAAGUAGAAUGAUAAUUACCAGGGGCUGGCAGGGAGGAGGAAUGGGACUCAGUGUUUAAGGAGACAAGAGUUUCAGUUUGGGACAAUGAAGAGGUUCUGGAGAUGAAUGGUGGUGAUGGGUGCACAGUAAUAUACAUGUACUUAACGCCACUGAACUGGAUGCUUAAAAACUGCUAAAAUGGUAAAUUUUAUGUUAUGUAUAUUUUAGCACAAUAAAAAAGAUGUAAUUUCACUGCAUCC